UGGAGAGAGGCCGUGCCAGGAUUUAUCUUCAGUCCCUGGCUUGUGCAACUUGAACAAAGAUGGUGCCCUUCGCUGAGACAGGCAAUGCUGAAGGAGGGCCAGGUAUAAUGGCUACGGAGACAUCUUCUAAUCAUGAAGAAUAGUUUGAAAGAAUCAGAGAUGGUUGACCCUGACAUUCUGGAGCUCCUCAACGAAUACCUGCAAAUGCCUACUUCAAAUUACAUAAGAAAAAUUAACUCUAUUUAAGCCA